GUGGGGAAUAUUGGACAAUGGGCGAAAGCCUGAUCCAGCCAUGCCGCGUGUGUGAAGAAGGUCUUCGGAUUGUAAAGCACUUUAAGUUGGGAGGAAGGGCAGUAAGUUAAUACCUUGCUGUUUUGACGUUACCGACAGAAUAAGCACCGGCUAACUUCGUGCCAGCAGCCGCGGUAAUACAGAGGGUGCAAACGUUGCUCGGAAUUACUGGGCGUAAAGCGCGUGUAGGCUGACAUGCAAGUCGGGUGUGAAAUCCCAGGGCUCAACCUUGGAACUGCACUCGAAACUGCACGUCUUGAGUACUGGAGAGGGAAGCGGAAUUCCGGGUGUAGAGGUGAAAUUCGUAGAUAUCCGGAGGAACACCAGUGGCGAAGGCGGCUUCCUGGACAGUAACUGACGCUGAGACGCGAAAGCGUGGGGAGCAAACAGGAUUAGAUACCCGAGUAGUCC
rnacentral:rRNA from 1 species